rnacentral:rRNA from 1 species
UACGUAGGGUGCAAGCGUUAAUCGGAAUUACUGGGCGUAAAGCGUGCGCAGGCGGUUAUGUAAGACAGGUGCGAAAUCCCCGGGCUUAACCUGGGAACUGCAUUUGUGACUGCAUAGCUAGAGUACGGCAGAGGGGGAUGGAAUUCCGCGUGUAGCAGUGAAAUGCGUAGAUAUGCGGAGGAACACCGAUGGCGAAGGCAAUCCCCUGGGCCUGUACUGACGCUCAUGCACGAAAGCGUGGGGAGCAAACAGG